rnacentral:rRNA from 1 species
AUACGUAGGGAGCGAGCGUUGUCCGGAAUUACUGGGUGUAAAGGGUACGUAGGCGGUUCUGUAAGCGUGAGGUGAAAGCCCGGGGCUUAACUCCGGUAAGCCUUUCGAACUGCAGGACUUGAGCGCUGGAGGGGAAAGCGGAAUUCCUAGUGUAGCGGUGAAAUGCGUAGAUAUUAGGAGGAACACCAGUGGCGAAGGCGACUUUCUGGACAGUAACUGACGCUGAGGUACGAAAGCGUGGGGAGCAAACAGGAUUAGAUACCCUGGUAGUCCACGCUGUAAACGAUGAGCACUAGGUGUCGGGCUAGCAAUAGUUCGGUGCCGCAGUUAACGCAAUAAGUGCUCCGCCUGGGGAGUACGCACGCAAGUGUGAAACUCAAAUGAAUUGACGGGG